rnacentral:rRNA from 1 species
UGUAGUCUCGCACAGAUGCAUAUCAAUAAGCGGAGGAAAAGAAACUAACAAGGAUUCCCCUAGUAACGGCGAGUGAAGCGGGAAGAGCUCAAAUUUGAAAUCUUAAAGGGUUUCCCUUUACGAAUUGUAGUUUAAAGAAGUGUUUUCUGUUGAGGUUUUGGUAAAAGUUCUUUGGAAUAGGACAUCAUAGAGGGUGAGAAUCCCGUAUUUGACCUUUACUUUCAACUUUGUGAUACACUUUCAAAGAGUCGGAUUGUUUGGGAAUGCAGUCCAAAAUGGGUGGUAAAUUUCAUCUAAAGCUAAAUAUUGGCGAGAGACCGAUAGCGAACAAGUACCGUGAGGGAAAGAUGAAAAGAACUUUGAAAAGAGAGUUGAACAGUACGUGAAAUUGUCAAAAGGGAAGCGUUUGACACCAGUGUUGUUUUUCUGAAAAUCAAUUAAAGAACUGUUUAUGCUAAGUUGUUUAGACUUUAUCAGCUAACUGUUUAGUUUUGAGCUUUUCUUUAAUGCACUUUUCAGUUAACAAGUCAACAUCAAUUUCUUUUGCUGUAAAAAAGCUUGAGGAAGGUGGCUUGAGAUUCGUCUUAAGUGUUUAUAGCCUCUUGCCUAUGCAGUCGGAGAGAUUGAGGUCUGCAGCGUAGAUCCUUCGGGGCUAAAUGCAUUUGUGCUAAGUUAUAGCAUUUUAUAGACAACUUGUUGACUAUGAUUUGUCUUGUAGCUUACUCGCUUAUGUUAUUUUACCUACGCUUAGGAUGUUGACGCAUGAGAUAUACGC